AAUAAAUAAUAAUAAAAUCCGGUUAAAAGACAGAAUACUAACUCAACCUCAGAAAAUAUACUUACUUGACUUAUUUAAUAAAAUCAUAAUUAGAGAAGACCAAUAUGAAACUCUAAUAACAUAUUUCAUCGAUAAGAGCGAAGAAUCGCACCACAAAAUGUACAUAUAAUAGCUCUCCAAUUUUUCCAAUAAAAGGGAACAUAACAAAACCGUGUAGCAGUCUUCAUGUCUGCUACACUAGCUCCGCCGCCGCAACGUGAACAUGUUCCGGCGGCGGGUUUGCUCUUACACACCUGUUUUGUUUGAUCUACUAAGAAACAAAAACAGACCAUCUUUUUUUUUUUCUUAUAAUGUUUUG
rnacentral:misc_RNA from 1 species